AGAGUUUGAUCCUGGCUCAGAACGAACGCUGGCGGCAUGCCUAAUACAUGCAAGUCGAACGAGAUCUUCGGAUCUAGUGGCGCACGGGUGCGUAACGCGUGGGAAUCUGCCCUUGGGUUCGGAAUAACUUCUGGAAACGGAAGCUAAUACCGGAUGAUGACGUAAGUCCAAAGAUUUAUCGCCCAAGGAUGAGCCCGCGUAGGAUUAGCUAGUUGGUGGGGUAAAGGCCCACCAAGGCGACGAUCCUUAGCUGGUCUGAGAGGAUGAUCAGCCACACUGGGACUGAGACACGGCCCAGACUCCUACGGGAGGCAGCAGUAGGGAAUAUUGGACAAUGGGGGAAACCCUGAUCCAGCAAUGCCGCGUGAGUGAUGAAGGCCUUAGGGUUGUAAAGCUCUUUUACCCGGGAUGAUAAUGACAGUACCGGGAGAAUAAGCUCCGGCUAACUCCGUGCCAGCAGCCGCGGUAAU
rnacentral:rRNA from 1 species